rnacentral:rRNA from 1 species
AUUGAACGCUGGCGGCAGGCCUAACACAUGCAAGUCGAGCGAGCGGCGGACGGGUGAGUAAUGUCUGGGAAACUGUCUGAUGGAGGGGGGUAACUACUGGAAACGGUAGCUAAUACCGCAUACCAUCAGAUGUGCCCAGAUGGGAUUAGCUAGUAGGUGGGGUAACGGCUCACCUAGGCGACGAUCCCUAGCUGGUCUGAGAGGAUGACCAGCCACACUGGAACUGAGACACGGUCAAGACUCCUACGGUAGGAAGAAUUGGGGAAUAUUGCACAAUGGGCGCAAGCCUGAUGCAGCCAUGCCGGGUGUGUGAAUAAGGCCUUCGGGUGUUAAAGCACUUUCAGCGGGGAGGCGUUACCCGCAGAAGAAGCACCGGCUAACUCCGUGCCAGCCGCCGCGGUAAUAC